rnacentral:rRNA from 1 species
UGGGGAAUCUUGCACAAUGGGGGAAACCCUGAUGCAGCGACGCCGCGUGAACGAUGAAGCCCUUCGGGGUGUAAAGUUCUUUCGACGGGGACGAUAAUGACGGUACCCGGAGAAGAAGCUGCGGCUAACUACGUGCCAGCAGCCGCGGUAAUACGUAGGCAGCAAGCGUUGUUCGGAAUUACUGGGCGUAAAGAGUGCGUAGGUGGUUGGCCAAGUUUGGUGUGAAAUCUCCCGGCUUAACUGGGAGGGUGCGCCGAAAACUGGUUGACUAGAGUGUGGGAGAGGGACGUGGAAUUCCUGGUGUAGCGGUGAAAUGCGUAGAUAUCAGGAGGAACACCUGCGGUGUAGACGGCGUCCUGGACCAUGACUGACACUGAGGCACGAAAAGCGUGGGGAGCAAAACAGGAUUAGAUACCCUGGUAGUCCACGCCCUAAACGAUGCAAACUUGGUGUGCGCCCUUCAUUGGGCUGCGUAGCCGUAGCUAACGCG